GAUGAACGCUGGCGGCGUGCCUAAUACAUGCAAGUCGAGCGAACAGACGAGGAGCUUGCUCCUCUGACGUUAGCGGCGGACGGGUGAGUAACACGUGGAUAACCUACCUAUAAGACUGGGAUAAAUUCGGGAAACCGGAGCUAAUACCGGAUAAUAUAUUGAACCGCAUGGUUCAAUAGUGAAAGACGGUUUUGCUGUCACUUAUAGAUGGAUCCGCGCCGCAUUAGCUAGUUGGUAAGGUAACGGCUUACCAAGGCAACGAUGCGUAGCCGACCUGAGAGGGUGAUCGGCCACACUGGAACUGAGACACGGUCCAGACUCCUACGGGAGGCAGCAGUAGGGAAUCUUCCGCAAUGGGCGAAAUCCUGACGGAGCAACGCCGCGUGAGUGAUGAAGGUCUUCGGAUCUUAAAACUCUGUUAUUAGGGAAGAACAAAUGUGUAAGUAACUAUGCACGUCUUGACGGUACCUAAUCAGAAAGCCACGGCUAACUACGUG
rnacentral:rRNA from 1 species